UACAGAGGUCUCAAGCGUUGUUCGGAUUCAUUGGGCGUAAAGGGUGCGUAGGCGGUGUGUCGCGUCGGCCGUGAAAACCUGCAGCUUAACUGUGGGCUUGCGGUCGAUACGGGCAUCACUGGAGUUCGGCAGGGGAGACUGGAAUUCCUGGUGUAGCGGUGAAAUGCGCAGAGUAUCAGGAGGAACACCGUGGCGAAGGCGGGUCUCGUGGGCCGAUACUGACGCUGAGGAGCGAAAGCGUGGGGAGCGAACAGG
rnacentral:rRNA from 1 species